rnacentral:pre_miRNA from 1 species
GCAUGAAUUACAGGGUAGAUCUCCUUUGGCACGGAGGCAUGCAGCCAUGCAUAGGUACGCUACUGGAUGGAGGUAAGGUAGCUUGGAAUUGAAGAUGCUGCAUAAUAGCCAUGCGUGCCAAAGGAGAAUUGCCCUGCGAUUCACGG